rnacentral:tRNA from 1 species
GCCCUUGUAGUCUAGUGGAUAGGAUACUACCCUGCGGAGGUGGUGACCCGAGUUCGAACCUCGGCAAGGGCG